UUAAGUUAUUAAGGGCGCACGGUGGAUGCCUUGGCACUAGAAGCCGAUGAAGGACGUUACUAACGACGAUAUGCUUUGGGGAGCUGUAAGUAAGCUUUGAUCCAGAGAUUUCCGAAUGGGGAAACCCAGCAUGAGUUAUGUCAUGUUAUCGAUAUGUGAAUACAUAGCAUAUCAGAAGGCACACCCAGAGAACUGAAACAUCUUAGUACCCGGAGGAAGAGAAAGAAAAUUCGAUUCCCUUAGUAGCGGCGAGCGAAACGGGAAGAGCCCAAACCAACAAGCUUGCUUGUUGGGGUUGUAGGACACUCUGUACGGAGUUACAAAGGACGACAUUAGACGAAUCAUCUGGAAAGAUGAAUCAAAGAAGGUAAUAAUCCUGUAGUCGAAAAUGUUGUCUCUCUUGAGUGGAUCCUGAGUACGACGGAGCACGUGAAAUUCCGUCGGAAUCUGGGAGGACCAUCUCCUAAGGCUAAAUACUCUCUAGUGACCGAUAGUGAACCAGUACCGUGAGGGAAAGGUGAAAAGCACCCCGGAAGGGGAGUGAAAUAGAACCUGAAACCGUGUGCUUACAAGUAGUCAGAGCCCGUUAAUGGGUGAUGGCGUGCCUUUUGUAGAAUGAACCGGCGAGUUACGAUUUGAUGCAAGGUUAAGCAGUAAAUGUGGAGCCGUAGCGAAAGCGAGUCUGAAUAGGGCGUUUAGUAUUUGGUCGUAGACCCGAAACCAGGUGAUCUACCCUUGGUCAGGUUGAAGUUCAGGUAACACUGAAUGGAGGACCGAACCGACUUACGUUGAAAAGUGAGCGGAUGAACUGAGGGUAGCGGAGAAAUUCCAAUCGAACCUGGAGAUAGCUGGUUCUCUCCGAAAUAGCUUUAGGGCUAGCCUCAAGUGAUGAUUAUUGGAGGUAGAGCACUGUUUGGACGAGGGGCCCCUCUCGGGUUACCGAAUUCAGACAAACUCCGAAUGCCAAUUAAUUUAACUUGGGAGUCAGAACAUGGGUGAUAAGGUCCGUGUUCGAAAGGGAAACAGCCCAGACCACCAGCUAAGGUCCCAAAAUAUAUGUUAAGUGGAAAAGGAUGUGGCGUUGCCCAGACAACUAGGAUGUUGGCUUAGAAGCAGCCAUCAUUUAAAGAGUGCGUAAUAGCUCACUAGUCGAGUGACACUGCGCCGAAAAUGUACCGGGGCUAAACAUAUUACCGAAGCUGUGGAUUGUCCUUUGGACAAUGGUAGGAGAGCGUUCUAAGGGCGUUGAAGCAUGAUCGUAAGGACAUGUGGAGCGCUUAGAAGUGAGAAUGCCGGUGUGAGUAGCGAAAGACGGGUGAGAAUCCCGUCCACCGAUUGACUAAGGUUUCCAGAGGAAGGCUCGUCCGCUCUGGGUUAGUCGGGUCCUAAGCUGAGGCCGACAGGCGUAGGCGAUGGAUAACAGGUUGAUAUUCCUGUACCACCUAUAAUCGUUUUAAUCGAUGGGGGGACGCAGUAGGAUAGGCGAAGCGUGCGAUUGGAUUGCACGUCUAAGCAGUAAGGCUGAGUAUUAGGCAAAUCCGGUACUCGUUAAGGCUGAGCUGUGAUGGGGAGAAGACAUUGUGUCUUCGAGUCGUUGAUUUCACACUGCCGAGAAAAGCCUCUAGAUAGAAAAUAGGUGCCCGUACCGCAAACCGACACAGGUAGUCAAGAUGAGAAUUCUAAGGUGAGCGAGCGAACUCUCGUUAAGGAACUCGGCAAAAUGACCCCGUAACUUCGGGAGAAGGGGUGCUCUUUAGGGUUAACGCCCAGAAGAGCCGCAGUGAAUAGGCCCAAGCGACUGUUUAUCAAAAACACAGGUCUCUGCUAAACCGUAAGGUGAUGUAUAGGGGCUGACGCCUGCCCGGUGCUGGAAGGUUAAGAGGAGUGGUUAGCUUCUGCGAAGCUACGAAUCGAAGCCCCAGUAAACGGCGGCCGUAACUAUAACGGUCCUAAGGUAGCGAAAUUCCUUGUCGGGUAAGUUCCGACCCGCACGAAAGGCGUAACGAUUUGGGCACUGUCUCAACGAGAGACUCGGUGAAAUCAUAGUACCUGUGAAGAUGCAGGUUACCCGCGACAGGACGGAAAGACCCCGUGGAGCUUUACUGUAGCCUGAUAUUGAAAUUCGGCACAGCUUGUACAGGAUAGGUAGGAGCCUUUGAAACGUGAGCGCUAGCUUACGUGGAGGCGCUGGUGGGAUACUACCCUAGCUGUGUUGGCUUUCUAACCCGCACCACUUAUCGUGGUGGGAGACAGUGUCAGGCGGGCAGUUUGACUGGGGCGGUCGCCUCCUAAAAGGUAACGGAGGCGCUCAAAGGUUCCCUCAGAAUGGUUGGAAAUCAUUCAUAGAGUGUAAAGGCAUAAGGGAGCUUGACUGCGAGACCUACAAGUCGAGCAGGGUCGAAAGACGGACUUAGUGAUCCGGUGGUUCCGCAUGGAAGGGCCAUCGCUCAACGGAUAAAAGCUACCCCGGGGAUAACAGGCUUAUCUCCCCCAAGAGUUCACAUCGACGGGGAGGUUUGGCACCUCGAUGUCGGCUCAUCGCAUCCUGGGGCUGUAGUCGGUCCCAAGGGUUGGGCUGUUCGCCCAUUAAAGCGGUACGCGAGCUGGGUUCAGAACGUCGUGAGACAGUUCGGUCCCUAUCCGUCGUGGGCGUAGGAAAUUUGAGAGGAGCUGUCCUUAGUACGAGAGGACCGGGAUGGACAUACCUCUGGUGUACCAGUUGUCGUGCCAACGGCAUAGCUGGGUAGCUAUGUGUGGACGGGAUAAGUGCUGAAAGCAUCUAAGCAUGAAGCCCCCCUCAAGAUGAGAUUUCCCAACUUCGGUUAUAAGAUCCCUCAAAGAUGAUGAGGUUAAUAGGUUCGAGGUGGAAGCAUGGUGACAUGUGGAGCUGACGAAUACUAAUCGAUCGAAGACUUAAUCAA
rnacentral:rRNA from 1 species